AUUGAACGCUGGCGGCAUGCCUUACACAUGCAAGUCGAACGGUAACAGGUCUUCGGAUGCUGACGAGUGGCGAACGGGUGAGUAAUACAUCGGAACGUGCCUAGUAGUGGGGGAUAACUACUCGAAAGAGUGGCUAAUACCGCAUGAGAUCUACGGAUGAAAGCAGGGGAUCGCAAGACCUUGUGCUACUAGAGCGGCCGAUGGCAGAUUAGGUAGUUGGUGGGAUAAAAGCUUACCAAGCCGACGAUCUGUAGCUGGUCUGAGAGGACGAUCAGCCACACUGGGACUGAGACACGGCCCAGACUCCUACGGGAGGCAGCAGUGGGGAAUUUUGGACAAUGGGCGGAAGCAUGAUCCAGCAAUGCCGCGUGCAGGAUGAAGGCCUUCGGGUUGUGAACUGCUUUUGUACGGAACGAGAAGCCCCGGGUUAAUACCCUGGGGUCAUGACGGUACCGUAAGAAUAAGCACCGGCUAACUACGUGCCAGCCGCCGCCGUAA
rnacentral:rRNA from 1 species